UAUGAUUCAGUGGAAUCUGUUCCACUUGAGGUGCUCGAAUCAUCGCACUAUUUGGAUAACAACAUUUUUGGGGAAUUCCUUAAAUGAACCAAACAUUGAAACCAACAUUAAUGGGUCGUUGACACAGACAUUUAUAGAUAAUUGCUAUACACUUAAGUCACGCAAUUGAUGUUCUCCGACGAUAUAAUGCGAUCAAACCAGACUGACUGCAGCUGUCAUGUGGAAACCGGGAAGGCCCCUCCUUUCGGUAACUUGUCCUCUCCGUUCAAUCCGAACUCACACGAAGCAUGUCCCGCAGCGAUAUAGCCCCAGUCAUGCAGAGGCAAAACGAAAGCGAUGAGAUCCAGCAGUGACGGAAGUUUAAUUCCAAUGGACUAUGAGCGUUUCAAUGUCUUAAAGACGAGGAAAGCAUUCGAGUCAAUACAACAACUGACCACCAAACUGAUUCACGUGGACAAUCAAUAGGAUAGCAUGCAUUUCCAUCUGUCCAUCUUGAAACGAGUUUGUAGUGACGGCUUCGGUCUGCAUGCGAAUAUGGCUCAAAAAUGACCAAUGGAGGCCAUUAAUGAACAACUAAAUUCAAACUGCACAAUAAGAAAUGUCAGCAUGUCGGAGCCAAAAAAUGUAAGAAAAUGACUAUACUUAUCUAUUAAACAAAUUCCAACUGUUCAAGCGUUUACGCAUAUGUUAGUCAUGUUUCUCUCUUGAACUGAAAGAGCAAAAGUAGUUUCUAAGAUUUGGUUAGUAAAUGUUCUGACCUGCCAUUCUCACUCAUUACAGAGCUUAUACAUAUGAAGUUCAGGGAAAGCUGGGUGCUGUUCACAGCACAUAGACACAGAUGCAACUUGUUAGUUUAACAACCCUGUUUGAAGACACAAGUUUCUCCUCCAUUCUUGUCACUCAUCUGCUGGUUUGUUUCUGAUGUGCUCACAGGCACAACAGUCCAUCCACAGAAAAAUCUGCAGGGUUAACGGAAAACUGAGGAGAAUCGGGAGGGAAUCAGAGAAUGUAAAUGGACAACUAAAAGAUGUUUUAUAUAAACUUGUGGAAGAAAUAAAUGCGUCCUUGAGAUGUUGGUGCCAUCAGAAGAGGGAGGGGACAAAAAAUCCAAAACAGCAAAUACGAAAGUGGAAGAUUUGCAGAGUGAAAGACAUUCUUGCCAAAUUACAGAGACAAUUUGAGCAAUACAAUGCGUAUCUGUCCCUCAGCACAGACCUUCCAGAGCGUGGGAAGACUUCAGAGCAAACCGUUAUAUAAUACUUGGCCUCCAUCCAUCUCUACUACAACAAAUUAAUGUACAGAAUAUGAAGUAACUGGACUAACCAUGUACCUUUCACACUAUUCAGUAUUUGUCUGAAGACAAACAAUGCUUUUUAUGGGAAAAUACAUGCUAAGCAUAAACAUGAAAAAUACUACUAUGCAUGAAAAUGUUUCAAAACUUUGUACUUUGUAUUGUUAUUUUUGCUAUUGAUUGCUGAACGAGUAGAGUUUAACUGUACAUUGCUGUGACACAAAGUUGGCGUCAAAGCCUAUAUUAUAUUAAUUCUCUAGGCCUCAAGUUAGAACUUUAUAAUCUACACAUACUUCUUAUUUGGGGAAGCGACCCUAUUCAGCCCACCCAAUUCCAAAUCUUAUACGUUUUUUCAAUUAAUUCUGAGAAAGCCGAAGUUUAAGCUCUCAUUGAAACACUUGUUUUUUUCAAACAAAAUUGAAUUGCUUUAUUUAAUUGCAAACCUCUGAAAUGGGCAUAUAAGUACACAUAUAUAAUUCCAGCACCUAUUUAACAAUAACCAAACAACUUUUUAUAUGGCUGUUUCUUUAGAAACCGUUUUUAAGAAAGUCAGCAGAUUUAUCUUUUCUUUGGUUCAUCUAUCAGGACCCAGUUUUUCACUGUUAGUUUCAGGUUUUUCUUUUCAACUCCAUUUUUUUUAUGUUGUUUUGACAAAGCAGCACGUUUGUGAACCUUCCCUUAUUUUUAGGCCAGUAUUUCCAGUUCGGGGAGGCAUAACAACUGUAGCAAUUGUUGGGCCCAAUAUAAAACUUUCAAUACGGGUCCCCCAGUAAUCUGGAUCACAUUCCGUACCCCUUUUGCAGUAGCAAGUCUUGACUUUUUUUUUUUUUUACCCAGCAUACAAUGACAAAUAUUGUAAGUAGGUAAAGUUAAUGAACUGGAUGUGCUCCAAACGCAGUGAAUUUAGUUAAUGCUUUUUAUAUGUGGUUCCUAGUUUUGUGGGUUAUCAAUAGAACCAUUCCUUAUAAAGCCUCUUGAAAAGAAUCAUAUUUAUGUAUUAUAAUAACAGACAAAACAUUAAACUUUGUCUUUGACACAAAUGGUUCCAUUUAAUGUGGUUGUCCACAGUUUUUACUGUUUUUCUUUCUACCACAUCUAUCUUUGUGAGCAAAACUCUGCAUUCCACACUAACUACAGAGGCUCAAGAUUUUCAGACACAGAAUAUUGCUUUUAAAUACCAAGAAAAUCAUAUCCGGUUGCUUUUUAUUUAUUUUAUUUAAACUGCCUUUUUACAGAUUUUUAAUGCUACUUCUACAGUGAAUGAAAGACAUUAGCAGUAAAACAAGCUGUCUAUCAUUCUUAUAUUUAAAAAAAAUAAACAGGUGGGCUUAUAUGGUACAUGAGCUUUAUAGGGUCUCUUCUCCUGUAUAAAUAACUAUCUGUUCACUUCUCCCUGCUUUCAUAUUACACAAAUAUAUAUGCUUUUAUAUAUAACGGUACAGAACUCUAUUUUUUUUUCCAGAACCUUUGACAUUAAUGGUGAUUUUUAAAAAUAUUUUUGUAGUGCUGUGUAACAUCAAAAUUCCACUUUCAUUUUCCGUUUUCUGUGUAACAUCAUGCCAGUAGCUGCAAGGAAAAUAUUGGGUUCAUAAAGAGAAAAUAAAAUAUGGAACAGAACCAUGUUAAAAAACAAACAAACAAAAAAAACCCUCAAAUCUAGGGCUGUCAAUCAAUGCUUUAAUGAAUAACUACAUAAAUUGCAUACAGUAUAUCAAUAUUUGUUAAGAAAAGCCCCUAAAUGAAGAUAAUUAAUUCAAUGACAUUACAUUUUUGUGAGUAAAUCACUGAAUAGGCAUUAUAAAAACACUGGGUCAGUGAUGAAAUGCUUAUAUUUUUAAUAGAUAAAUACACUAAAUUAAUGUGUUAAAUUGGCAGCCCUAAAUAAACGAUUAAAUAAACGCAUCAAACAGGACACAAUCUGAAUUCUGUUUUCCACUUUAUUUCUGUAUGAUCAGUUCAAUCCAUUUUAACCAUUCAAUCCUUUAAUGUCAAAAUUUCUGUCAUAAUACAUAUAGCAGGUAUUCAUAAGCUAUAUUUGCUGCCAGAGUGAUGCUUUGAAAUGCAAAUGAGCUUGAGAUCGGCACAAACAGACACCAACGCCUCGACCUCUCUCACCCUGGACCAGCAGUGAUAAAGCUUAAAUGCUCUGAAGCAAUACAAUACCAUUGUAAAGCUACUUUUUGUAAGGUUGUAAUAUGGAGGAUGCUCUUGAAGGAUGUACAUGACAUUUCAGUUUUGAAUGUUGUGAUGAUGUGUAAACAUGUUGGACAGACUACUGGAUCAACCAAGGUUGAACAGAUAUAUAAAUAAAUAUACAACAAUGUUUUCUACAAGUCAUUUCAUGUUCAAUACUGUUAAAAACACAAAAUAAUAAAGAACGUAUAAAAAAGUGAAAUACAAAAGCAGAUUGCUC
rnacentral:lncRNA from 1 species